UUUUAUCUCUAAAACACAUCUCUCAAACACAAACCAAACAUACCCAAUAUUUUUGUUUCACAUUUCGAUAGGAAUCUGUGGACUGAUUAAAUACUCUGUCCAUGGAGCCGGUUUUGUGCAAUUACAUUU